UAAAAAACUGUGAAGAGAAGAGUAGAUGCAAGGCAGAGUUUUAGCGAGCUGGUUAUGGUGGGAGUCCAGUACGAAGUCUGUAUUGAAGAACGUCUCUGAGUUUCUAACCGAAAGUCCUUAAUGGAUAAGUAGACUUAGACGGAGCCAAACCGUUAUUAAUUGGGCAGUAUCGAGUAGAAAUAAGUCUAUUCUGUACUUGUUAAGAGAGCAAUUUAUUGCUAAUUUGGGUGGUACCGCGGAAGUAAGCCUUUCGUCCCUUGU
rnacentral:ncRNA from 1 species